UUUUUUUUUUUGUUUUGUUUAAUAAGGUAUAACUUUAUUAUAGCUUUAAUAAGGUAUAACUUUAGUAAGGUAUAGCUUUAAUAAGGUAUAACUCACAUACAAUAAGCUGCACACAUUUAAAGUGUAUAAUUUUAAAAGGUCUGACAUUUCUAUGGCCUGUAUUAAAUCUAUUGGAGAGCUUGAGUGGUUGGCACUCCAUUCUGGAGAUUUGAUAGAAUAGCUGCCUAGUGAUUCUGAUGCAGCUUUGGGAACUCCUGGUUAAAAGUAUGGGCUAUGGAGUCAGACCUGAGUUUAAAUUCUACCUACCUGUUUAGGAGAUGUGGACCUUGGAUAAAUCAUUAAUUCUCUACGUCUCAAUUUUCCUCAUCUCUAAAACAUGGGUGAGAGGAAUGGGUAUAUACAGGACUACAGUGUAGGACUAUUUGAAAAUUACAUGAAAGAAUGUAAGUGAUGCUAUCAUGCAGCUCAUGAUAUGAGUUGCCAUUUAUUGAGGGCUUUCAACUUCAACUAUUGGCUAAGGUUGUGUAAACAAAGUAGCCUAUGGGUGCUGUCCUCGAGAUGCUUAAAUUAAGUAAGGGAAUACACAAAAAUGAUGAUAAUUCUAGUGCCACACAUGUAGAAAGGCUCAAAUAUUAAAAAACAACAAAAAAAAUGUUCUUGUCCUUGGUUCUCAACAGACUUGUUUAGGCAUUGGCACAAAACCCCUGAGAGAGAAACCACAGAGAGGGGGCAGUGAUAUUAACAAGAACUGAUGAUGCUUUUUUCCUCCCCCAUAAUGGUCUCUCCUUGGGUACCAAUCCCAGAGUCUAGAAGUAGGGUGCUGCUUUUGAAAUAAUCCUGGGGUCAUCUACUCCCAACUAUAGCUCUUUUAUGUCUUUCAGAAUUUAGGGAACUUCAGCAUCUAUUUUUUUAUAAUAAAACAAUCAUGUUUAAACAUUUCCAUUCAUCAUCACUCUUUUUUUUUUGUCUUUUUGAGGGCCGCACCUGCGGCAUAUGGGGGUUCCCAGACUAGGGGUCUAAUCGGAGCUGUUGCCACUGGCAUACGCCACAGCCACAGCAAUGCCAGAUUCGAGCCACAUCUGAUGACCUACACCACAGCUCAUGGCAACGCCAGAUCCUUAACCUACUGAGCAAAACCAGGGAUCAAACCUGCAACCUCAUGGUUCCUCGUUAGAUUUGUUUGUGCUGUGCCACGAUGGGAACUCCCCAUUCCUUUUUUUUAAGACACACACAUCAAGAUUAAAAUAAGACAUUAGAAGCAUCUAUGAAAUCAAUUUAUCAGUAUUUAAAUAUGGUGAAUCUACGCUAUUAAUAGACCUUCGAUUAUAACCCUGUUGCACAGUCUGUCCAGCAAAGUAAAAUAUCCUGGAAAUCCUCAUAUGAUGUCCAACCACAUCUUCUACUGCCUCUUACAUCCUAAAAUACCACGUAAUUCUUUACCAGAAAUGUGGCCAUUUAUUUGGCCACAAAAAUAUAGCCACUAUUUAUCAAGCACUGUUCUUGGCUCUUGAUAGAUGUUAAAAAGUGUGGGCAUGACUCCUAUCCUCCAUGACUUGCAGCCUGUAAGAGGAGACAAAUAGCUGCAGAGAGAAAACAAAUUCUAGAAAGCAAUGAAGGAAGAGAGCUGCUCAGUGCUGUGCGCGUAUCUGAGAUGGGACUGAGGAGGCAGGAAGGCAACAGAGAAGCUGGCGUGUGAGCUUGGCCUGAAGGAUGCUCAUGCUGAACCACGGCGCCAGCUUUACUGAGUUCUCACUUCGUCCCGACACUGUGCCAAGGAGCACUCACUUUAGGUACAAACUGACCCUGAUUAACGAACACAAUGAACCUCUUCAGAUAUUUACUCAUUACUUUUGUAGAUAAGGAAACUGAGGCUCAGAGACGUUAAUUAAGUUGGAAAGAGAAUGACACAGCUAUGACAUGGCAGAGCUCCAACUCAAAGACACAUCUGUCAGUCUCCCAAGCUUUUGCUUGAACACUUACUGAAGAAAGGGCAAGAUGGAGCUCUGGUUGUGGGUUAGGCUAAAGAGAUGGUAAAGGCAUGAAAAUGACAACUGGGGGCUUUUUACAAAAUAGAAUCAUGGGAUGCAGUGGUUAGCAGCUUGGGAUUGGAAAUUAGAAAAAAAAAAGUGGUUUUGAAUCAAACUUUCUAGAGGUAUAUACCUGAGAAAUUCGUUAAGCCCCUGAACUUCUGUUCUAUGACCAUAAAAUGGGGAAAGAAAUACAUUUACCUCACAGAGCGCUUGCAAGGAGCAAAUGAACUGAAACGUGUGACAUGAUUAGAAAUUUGCACUAUCAUGAUCAGUGUUAUUUUUCCAGGAGCAAACUAUCCACAAAAAGCCAGCUAAGAUUUUAAGGGAAGAAGGAACAAUUUACUACUCAUUUGUGUUUAAAAGACAUACCAGGAAAAGCACAGAAAUCCCUGAAAAGACUAAAGGAGUUCAUGCUUAUGCUUUUGGCGAAAUGGAUCCUACAUUGGCAGAGUCUGUAUUCCCAGGAGUCUCAGCUUUGUAGCUGGUUCUGCCCUAAGCUAUAAGCAGUAUAAAGACGUUAUUAAUCUUAAGGCUUUCCAAUGGGGCUGUUGCCUCUGAGUUACGAUUUGAGAAGCAACUGUAAUAUAAAACAGCAGGAGUUCAAGUGUAGGAAGCUAAAUUCUGCAACACGUCUCCACAAUUAACAUUUGGGUACCUGCACUCCACUGAAGCCUUGCCGGCUUGUCUAAACCCUUGCACCACUUCUCUUCCAAAGAUGAUGCUCUAGAGUCACAUGUGGUUAGUGUCUGAAACGAAUGAAUUAAACUUAUUUAAUUUAUUCCUGGUGAUCUCCAGAGACCUGAUAAAUAAACCCUUCUUUAUGCAGGGGGAAAAAAAAGUCUCACUGUGCAUUCAUGAACCUGACACAGCAGUUUCCUAUAAAGGAGGGAUGUUGCUAUUUAAGCCAGUCCGACCCUGGAGUUCUAGUGUCCCCAUAUACAGGCAAUGUGGUGGUGUGGCUCUGGGGACAAAGGCUUUUAACCCUUUACACACCUGUGAGAAGAAAAUGAAUCUGAAAUGCUAACAUUCAACAUACAGCAACUAUACACCUUUAGGAUUGUAAGUUUGGGGCUUGUGCGGUUCUUNUUUUUUUUUUUUUUUUUUUUUUUUUUCGUUUUACGGCUGCAUCUGCAGCAUAUGGAAGUUCCCAGGAUUGGAGCUGAAUUGGAGUUGCAGCUGAGGCCUGCAUCACAGCCAUGGCAACACUGGAUCCCAGCCUCAUCUGCUACCUAGGCCACAGCUCACAGCAAUGCCGGAUCCUUAGCCCACUGAGCAAGGCCAGGGAUCGAACUUACAUCCUCUUGGAGAUUAUGUAGGGUUCUCAAGCCACUGAGCCACAAUGGGAACUCCUCAUGUGGUUCUUUAUGUUAGUUUUCCCCUCUCCUAUUCUUCCACUGAAGUGCCUUCUUUAUCACAUAAUAAUACCAGCAACUAUUUUUUAUUACAAAUUAUUUAGUCAACAUGUUAAGUUUUUUUAUAUAUAAAAGGAUGUUAUAUAAAUAAAACCAAAAUUCGUUGUUACUGAUAGUUGUGCUUUCUCAAUGUCAGGUUUAAAGCUUCAUAUUAGAAAUAUAGGAAAAGAACAUGAAAAAGAAUGAAUAUAUGUAUAUGCAUCACUGAAUC
ensembl:lncRNA